rnacentral:rRNA from 1 species
CAUCUUUUAACAUAACGAGUUACCCAGAGAGAUUUGGGGUCCACUUCGGUGGCGCGCACACAGGUGCUGCAUGGCUGUCGUCAGCUCGUGUCGUGAGAUGUUGGGUUAAGUCCCACAACGAGCGCAACCCACGUCCUUAGUUGCCAUCAUUCAGUUGGGCACUCUAGGGAGACUGCCGGUGAUAAGCCGCGAGGAAGGUGUGGAUGACGUCAAGUCCUCAUGGCCCUUACGGGAUGGGCUACACACGUGCUACAAUGGCGGUGACAGUGGGACGCGAAGGAGCGAUCUGGAGCAAAUCCCCAAAAGCCGUCUCAGUUCGGAUUGCACUCUGCAACUCGAGUGCAUGAAGGCGGAAUCGCUAGUAAUCGUGGAUCAGCAUGCCACGGUGAAUA